AUAUCAAUAAGCGCAGGAAAAGAAACCAACAGGGAUUACCUCAGUAACGGCGAGUGAAGCGGUAAUAGCUCAAAUUUGAAAUCUGGCCUCUUGGGGUCCGAGUUGUAAUUUGUAGAGGAUGUUUUGGGUACCGCCCCGGUUUAAAUUUCUUGGAACAGAAUGUCAAAGAGGGUGAGAAUCCCGUCUUGGACCGGUGGUAGGGCCUGUGUAAAACUCCUUCGACGAGUCGAGUUGUUUGGGAAUGCAGCUCAAAAUGGGUGGUAAAUUUCAUCUAAAGCUAAAUAUUGGCCAGAGACCGAUAGCGCACAAGUAGAGUGAUCGAAAGAUGAAAAGCACUUUGAAAAGAGAGUUAAACAGUAUGUGAAAUUGUUGAAAGGGAAGCGCUUGCAACCAGACUUGAGCGCGGCGGUUCCCCUGACCUUUUGGUUAGGCUACUCCGUCGUGUCCAGGCCAACAUCGGUUCUGAGGGUCGGUCAAAGGCCUUGGGAAUGUAUCUACCCACGGGUAGACUUAUAGACCAGGGUGUCAUGCGGCCUCUCGGGACCGAGGAACGCGCUUCGGCUCGGAUGUUGGCGUAAUGGUUGUCAGCGA
rnacentral:rRNA from 1 species